rnacentral:rRNA from 1 species
CAUUAACACAUUGCAUUAAUUUGCAAAAUCCAAACCUUGAACCAAGUUUAUCAUGGGUGUUUUGAGAGCUGAGCGUACGUAAGUAUGUUAAGUAUCUCGAAACACUACCUUGCUUAAACCUGCUUCAUUUUAACAUUUUCAAUAUAACAAAUUAAAAAAUCUAGAAAAUUUUCAACGAUGGAUAUCUAGGUUCCCAUAACGAUGAAGAACGCAGCGAAAUGCGAUACGCAAUGCGAAUUGCAGAACUCCGCGAGUCAUCAGAUCUUUGAACGCAAAUGGCGCCAGUUUACUGGCAUGUUUGUUUCAGUGUGUUUGGAGAGUAUCAAACUAAUCAUUUAUUUGAAUGUGAUUGAAAAGAUGCUUGACAUCUUUUCUUUCAUUAAAUAAGAAGGUGUGAGGAUAUUUACUCGCACUGAUCAAAACGAAGUAGUCACAUUUAUGUGAUCUCGUUUAAUCAGAUUGCUUGUAUUUUUUCUUUUUCUUUUGAAAAGGACCUCUAUUAUCCUAAAUAACUAUUUAUCUCCAAUCAAUUGACACCUGAAAUCAAGCAAGGCUACCC